rnacentral:ncRNA from 1 species
CCAAUAGUGAUGAUGGGGAAGAGUAACCGUCUCAUCCGCACAGACAGCGAACCGGGGUAGGUGGGAGCCGGACUGGCGGAAACGGUGAAAGCCACCCUUAAACUGCAACCUGAGCCGCUGAGCAUAAUAUGCUGGUGGGGUAAGGGAUGCCGGCAUUCCUCCGUUAUCGGGAAAUUGAGUGGACCGGCGCAUUAUCGCCGGUAACCAGGGUGGUACCGCGAAGCCAGGCCUUCGUCCCUUUU